rnacentral:rRNA from 1 species
UACGGAGGAUGCAAGCGUUAUCCGGAAUGAUUGGGCGUAAAGCGUCCGCAGGUGGCUAUGUAAGUCUGCUGUUAAAGAGUGAGGCUCAACCUCAUAAGAGCAGUGGAAACUACAUGGCUAGAGUGCGUUCGGGGCAGAGGGAAUUCCUGGUGUAGCGGUGAAAUGCGUAGAUAUCGUCAAGAACACCUAUAGCGAAGGCAGCUUACUGGGCUGUAACUGACGCUGAGGCACGAAAGUGUGGGGAUCAAACAGG